CUUGCUCUGCACAUGGUGUGUGGGCUGGAUCUGGUACUGCAUGCAGCAAGGGGGGUUGGUCCCGGGCAUGUGGUGCCCCACUGGAACAGCUCUUCACGCCGGCUCCGGUGCACAUGGGCAGCCUGGACCCCCAAUCCAAAGAGACCCCAGAACUAGUGCACAUAGCUGGUGUGGAGCAGGCAUCACAUGUAACACAUGCCCCAUCAUAACCCCAUGCUGCGCAGAACCAGGUACAGCCUGCGUACGAUGUGCAAAGCAAACCCCAGGGCUGGCAAGUGCUGCAUGCAGUGUGCAGGCUGGACUCGGUGCCACAUACACUAGAUGCAUCAUAGAAGGUUGGUCCCUAUCCAGCCCACAGAACAGCCCCAAGUCCCUCAUCCAGCCCUGUGGGACCAGAUAAGUUUGACACCUUUGAUUUAUACCAAUAAAACAGAAGCCACAAUAGAUUUACAGAGUAGCUUCCCCUCUAGUUGCUAUUUCUCCACCCUACAUCUUAGCUUCAUGUAAGCACAAUCACAGUAUAAACACUAAUUUUGCCACAAAGUACUCUGAGAACACCACUACAUUAUCACUGCAAAGUUUGGCAUACAUCCUAUUCAAAACAGGAGAGCCAUUAAAAAUACGUGCACUACCAGAGAGCUGGAAUUUCUACCUCCAUUAAAAAUAGAAACCAACAGUUUUUGAAACAUCAGUGAAUUAUUUAUACACAGAUAAGUACAAGAUCUGAAUGGUUACAGAGUGCCUACCUGCAAGUAACCACAAACCAAACUGGAUUAGAUCGUGCUCCUGACAACAUGAAUGAUUUUGCAGGGGAACAUAAAACAUAUGGUGGUACUAGCUGCUUCCAUAUUCUGCAAUACCUUUUUCCCCCAAGGGUAAAAGGAUUGAGCAGAUUACAUCAUUAAAUACAUUUAGGGAACUUUAGCUAUCUAGGUUAUGGGUACAGAAAACACUGGUCAAAAAUCUAAAAAGGUUUCUCUUUGCACCAUCCGUCUGUAGUUUAUUCUAAUACAAGAGACAUGACAUUAACAAAUAAAGUGACAUUAACAGUCAGGCUCUUCCAAAUGUGAUUAAGUAGAAGUUUAAACAAUUUAAUACCAAGGAACAAAUAGCUACUUAACUUUUAAUUAAAUUAAUGUAGGCAACAUACUACUGAGAAAGGAUGCUUCUUUAAAAAGGACUGAGACUUAAAUUACACAGAACAAUAUUUGCACACAAAAUAAGAAGGCAUAAAUGCUGCAAUUGAAUUCUUUGAUACAAGUGAAAAUGUGUAGAUACAAAUAGAACAAGUUA